rnacentral:rRNA from 1 species
AAUACGUUCCCGGACCUUGCACACACCGCCCGUCAAGCCAUGGGAGCCGGGUGUACCUAAAGUCGGUAACCGCAAGGAGCUGCCUAGGGUAAAAUCGGUGACUGGGCU